CCUGGUCUAUUACCUCUUCCGUAUUACAUAACCUAGCCAAUAGGGUUAAGGCUGCCACUAAGAUGUGAAAUAUCAAGUAUUUUUUUAAUUUAGGGAUUCCUAAUGAGAACAUAAUUGUCCUGGAUAAUUUGCAAGCUUAAUUUGGGUCCUGCUUUCAAUUAAUCUAAUUGCUGUUUACCAAUAAUGUUUUAAUCGAUUACAAUUACGCCAUACGUGUGCCACAACAAGAGGACGUAG